rnacentral:rRNA from 1 species
UACAGAGGUCCCAAGCGUUGUUCGGAUUCACUGGGCGUAAAGGGUGCGUAGGCGGUCAGAUAAGUCUGAUGUGAAAUCUUCGAGCUCAACUCGGAAACUGCAUCGGAAACUAUCUGGCUAGAGGAUUGGAGGGGAGACUGGAAUUCUCGGUGUAGCAGUGAAAUGCGUAGAUAUCGAGAGGAACACCAGUGGCGAAGGCGAGUCUCUGGACAAUUCCUGACGCUGAGGCACGAAAGCUAGGGGAGCAAACAGG